rnacentral:rRNA from 1 species
ACUCCUACGGGAGGCUGCAGUGGGGAAUAUUGCACAAUGGGCGCAAGCCUGAUGCAGCAACGCCGCGUGAGGGACGACGGCCUUCGGGUUGUAAACCUCUUUUAGUAGGGAAGAAGCGAAAGUGACGGUACCUGCAGAAAAAGCACCGGCUAACUACGUGCCAGCAGCCGCGGUAAUACGUAGGGUGCAAGCGUUAUCCGGAAUUAUUGGGCGUAAAGAGCUCGUAGGCGGUUUGUCGCGUCUGCUGUGAAAACUGGAGGCUCAACCUCCAGCCUGCAGUGGGUACGGGCAGACUAGAGUGCGGUAGGGGAGAUUGGAAUUCCUGGUGUAGCGGUGGAAUGCGCAGAUAUCAGGAGGAACACCGAUGGCGAAGGCAGAUCUCUGGGCCGUAACUGACGCUGAGGAGCGAAAGCAUGGGGAGCGAACAGGAUUAGAUACCCUGGUAGUCCAUGCCGUAAACGUUGGGAACUAGAUGUAGGGACCAUUCCACGGUUUCUGUGUCGCAGCUAACGCAUUAAGUUCCCCGCCUGGGGAGUACGGCCGCAAGGCUAAAACUCAAAGGAAUUGACGGGGGCCCGCACAAGCGGCGGAGCAUGCGGAUUAAUUCGAUGCAACGCGAAGAACCUUACCAAGGCUUGACAUAUACCGGAAAAGGCUAGAAAUAGUCUCCCCGCAAGGUCGGUAUACAGGUGGUGCAUGGUUGUCGUCAGCUCGUGUCGUGAGAUGUUGGGUUAAGUCCCGCAACGAGCGCAACCCUCGUUCUAUGUUGCCAGCACGUAAUGGUGGGAACUCAUAGGAGACUGCCGGGGUCAACUCGGA